rnacentral:lncRNA from 7 species
AACUUCACAUUCACAUUCCAGUAAUGGGAGACAGUUAAUUUGGUCCGUUGCGCUGCUUUGAAAAUUUCCACCCUUGACUUGCAAACAAACAAAAACACCAACCUUUAAGCUAAUGUCUUUCCCUGUGUGAAUAUAAUAACUUCUCCCGGUGACAGAAAUUCUGCUGUGAGUAGUGGCAAGCUUUGCUUUGUUGAAGCCUCCUGCAAACCCACAUUGUUUGAAGUCAUUACACACAGAGGAGCUGAAGCCUGGUGUUGUGCUCCAGCAACUGAGUGAGCAACAUGAUGCUGCAGGAAUGAGAUGGAGAGAAGGAGAUGCUGAUGACAGUACAGCUCCAGCCUAUGGUGAGAAGUCAAAGCAUCAUGAGAAACACCGAGACAAGAGGCUCAACUCCAUAGCAUGACACAGCACAGACUUACUAAUUCCCCCCAGAUGUAGAGAAACCACGAGGUAUUUCUGCCCCAGCCAAACCCAGGAGAUCCCUCGGCAUCAUAAGCUUGCUCUCGGCCCAGCAGUGUGUCCUGGAUUUGGGCUCGACCUUUAUUGUACUCAGUGUCUGCGGCUAUGCAAGAAUGCGACAGUCGUUUUCUGAGCUUCCAGCCUGUCCUGGAAAGAGCCGAUACACCUCAUAGCUCUGCAUCCCAUGCAAGAUAUGCAUUCUAGGAGAAAAGCAAGGGAGAAAAUUACCAGGACUCCCAUCCUUAGAAAAAGCAUCAUUUAGAUACUACUAUUCCCCAACCCAAAAGUAUUACCCAAAAAGCAGAAGGUCAAUAGAGCAGCGUUAAGUAGAUGGCUUCUGCUCCUUCUCUGCAGGGUAGGUCCCAGUCGCCCUUCUGGCAUUAUUUUGAUGAAGGCUAGGAAUGAAAUCAAUAGAAAAAGAGUAGAGGAAAUUAAGUACAAUGUGGCAUCUUGAAGAGAAAAGUUUAAGCUGAGACAGAAAAUGCCAGUUUAGAAGCCACAUAUGCAUCUCAUUUAGAAAAAAAUCUGUACUCUUAUUAAAGUAGCCACAAUGAGAGUAUUAGCUACAAAUUAGGUAUGUACUGGGAAGCAAGCUCUCUGUAGUGCAUGGAGGAGGAGCAGCAUGUUUUACACUCGGAGACAGAUCAAAUGAAAGCUGAAAGAUUGGAGUGCUAGGCAAGGUCAGCUCAGGACCCAACUGAACUUCAAUGGUAUUUUAUACAUAAACAAUAUUUUAUCCACAAACCACAACAUUUUAAGAACAAUCCUCUAGCAAAGAAAAUGUCAAAGCAUAAAUAAGGUCUUUUCUUGAAGAUCUGGAGGGGCAAGGGAUCCAGAACAAUCACCAAACUGCAGCUGACGGCAUGUCUCCUGCUGGCACGAUGUGCACACACAGCACUGCUCCCACGUGGCUGAAGGGGAACCCCAAAGCCCAGCUAUGGGGUCUGACUGCUCUCCCUGCCCCAUCCAUUCCUUUGCCUGCAGAAUGUGGGGCUGUUCCAAGGAUCCCCUCUCUCCCCAACUCUUUGUUGUAGGGUGGGUGCUCUGGAAGAGGAAACAAGCAAUGAUUUGCUACCCACAGGCUCCUCUGUCAUGUCACCCAAACUCGCUCCAUUGCCUCCUCCAGGAAGGAGGUAAUAUUCCAUCCUUAUUAUAUUAGCGUAUUAUUGGCUAAUAGAAUAAAGUUAGCUUAAGAAAGAUAACAGAAUCCUUUCACAUGGCUAUGAGAACUGGCUGGAAGGAGCGCAGGACUUCUCCCCCAAGCCCAACUACUGAUCUGAUUGUAAAAAGUGGUAUUUUCACCUGUAGGACUCCGAGGAUUUUGAAAGCUUUCCAAUUAUUAUUAUUUAAACAAAACCAGGAAAUGAGCACUGCAACACAUUUCCAUGUUCCUGUCUGCCCUUUUUGCCUUCUCUUUGAGUAUGAAAAGUUUUUAAAAAAAUAAAGGGAAGCAGGAAG